rnacentral:tRNA from 2 species
GCCGGGGUAGCUCAGUCGGCAGAGCGAUUCACUCGUAAUGAAUAGGUCAGGGGUUCGAUUCCCCUCCCCGGCU